rnacentral:lncRNA from 1 species
AAAUGAGUGGCUUUGUGUGCAUACUUCCAACAUGUGUUUUCCCUUUGCAUUUGUACACACAUGUUCUUCAUUAUUUCAGCCAAUAAUCCACCCAUUUUCUACCCAUCCCAAGCCCUCCAUGCUGUGCAGUUUGCAUGUGUGUAGCUGUCCAUGUUUCUCUUUUGCAUGUGCCAUGCCUUCUCUUUCUAGCUGUGCAUUUCCACUUGCUCCAAAGCCAAAUGAGUGCAAUCAUAACCCCAUUUUCCGCUGAGUGUUGAUGACAAAGCAAAACACCAAACAAAUGCCUUUACUUUCUCAUUUUAUUAGCCAAAUCUGCUUAGCCCUUUUCUGAACCUUUCAGUGUUACAAUGCCCAUAACUUCUUCUAGCAAAAUGAUAUUAACAAUCCGUGAAUUUCUCCAGAGAAUAGACAUCCGUAGCUUUCCAAGCAUAUAAGGCUCAUUUUCUCAUUCAUUCUAAGCUGUUCGUAACAUGCUUCCAAAGUCAGCUAAUCUGCACAGGCAGUUUUGACGAAUUUGUUACUUAAUAUCUCACUUGUGCUACUUUUCUUUUCUUUGCUUGAUAAAUCACACAAAACACAAAAACAUAGCAAAUAGCUCAAAAAUAUAAGGAACUAACUAAGAAAAGACAAGUAUUUUAUGUAAAAUAUAUAUAAAUAUGAGCUUAUCAAUUACAUCUACUCAUUACCACAACACUCACCGACUACACCCAUUACAUCCACUCAUUACAACUCCAUACACUCCUCUCCCUAGCCUAUAAAUACAUCAACCCUUCAUCAUAACUUGGGGGCCAUCAUCCAAAGACACCACAUCAUCUACACAACUCUUCACCUUUCACCAUAACUCACCUAUAUCCAUCCACCACUACAAGAGACCAUCCAUUCACCACUCACACCUUGGUGCCGCAUAUUUGCAAGGAAGGAGGAUUGCUUGGAGUUGUGCUAGUCAUUCAAUUUGGAUUGCUGGAGCUUUCUAGGUGUAUUCUACUUUGGUUUUCAAUGUUUAAUUUCAAUUGUUUCUGUUUAAUUGCAAGUAUGAGGAACUAAACCUCUUUUGGCUAGAGGAGAAUUCGAAACCAUGAAUAUAUUUGCAAUAUGAAUUGAUUUCUUCCAAUUGUGAUUUGAUAAGUUGUGAUUGCAAUUCAAUUAUCUAUUUUAUUUCAUAACGGAUUUGUGUAUGUUUAUUAAGGAUGCAUACUUAGUUUUCAUGCAUGAAUUUGAUGCUAGGAUAUAAAUAAGUUUCACCUAAUCGUUACAAGUUUAUAUUCAUGAGUAGUGAAGGUUGCUUGUCACAAUCGCGUUAAUUGAAUUCUUGGCAAACGUAUCAUGCAUUCAUAGUUACAAUUGCCUCGUCAACGCUUAUGAUUUUCAUGGAACUUAAUGAUCUUUAAUUGUAUCUCUAUUAUGCAUUCAUAUAGGGGACUUUUAGAGAAUGAUUUGGGUUAUCGCAUGCAUUCAUCCAAUACAAUGAGUAAAGGAAAAUCUGAGGGUUAAUUUGUGCAUCACGGUUAAUCUGGGGUGUUAAGCAUCAUAGUUUAUUGAAAAGCAAUUGGAGAUUGAUUUGUAUGCAAGUGUGUCAUGUGUGGAGAAAGACCUUCUAGCUAGCCCAUCAUCCAUCCAAAACAACCAAUUUCGUGCAAAUCUGUUUAGUUCUAGUUUUUGUUUUGUUUUACUUUAUUUUCGUCCAAAACCCAAUCCCCCUUUGCUUUAGUGUAUCUAAUUAGUUAGAAUCUGUUUUAGUUUGUGUUUGUAAGUGUUUUGAGUCUAUAGAGUCUAGUUGAGUGUUUUUAAGUUUCUUUUAGUAAGUCAGUUUAGUUUAGAUAAGCAAUCCCUCCUAAUCCCCGGUCAAGAAUGAUCCCUACUUAUACAUAUACCACAAUUGUCAAAAAGAGGGUUUAAUUUGAGUGCUUAACUUUAAUCGCAUCAAAUUUUGGCGCCGUUGCCGGGAUUAGCAACUUUGCAAAAUCCCCCGUUGUUUCUUUUUCAUGUCUUUUGUUUUAGUUACUGACUUUGUUUCUGUUUGUGUCUUUUAUUUUUACUUGUGAUAUUUGAUUUAGUUUUGUUUCCUUGAUUUUAGGGACUAGAGAAGUAGUUCUUUUUCAUGUUUUUGUUUUAGUUACUGACUUUGUUUUUGUUUGUGUCUUUUAUUUUUACUUGUGAUAUUUGAUUUAGUUUUAUUUCCUUGAUUUUAGGGACUAGAGAAGUAGUUCUUUUUUCAUGUUUUUUGUUUUAGUUACUGACUUUGUUUCUGUUUGUGUCUUUUAUUUUUACUUGUGAUAUUUGAUUUAGUUUUGUUUCCUUGAUUUUAGGGACUAGAGAAGUAAGACAUGGAUUUUGCUACCAUUCAAGCUCAAUUAGCGAAACUUACUUCUCAAUUGUCACAAUAUGCCGAAAGGACCACAAUGCAAAAGUGUCCCUACAUGUGGUGUGUCCUAUGGGCAAGGAUAUCCAACUUAUCAAUGUCCUCAAUUCAUUGCGAAUGAAGAUGCUUGGGGUUAUCAAAGCCAUAGUCAAUCAUGGGACAACAUGUUUUCCGACGCUUACAAUUCGGAUUGGAGAGAUUAUUCAGAUUACAUGUGUGGAGAACCGCAACAAUUCCAACAAGAUGGAUAUUGGCAGCAAGAAGAGAAGUUCUAUCACUGGCCAUAUGAACCAUCACAGCCACCACAACAAUCUGCCCAAUUCAAUUCAGGUACAUCUUUAGAUAAUGAUAUGUUUAAUAAGUUACUCACCUCUUUGAACCAGGAUGUAGAAAACCGAAACAAAGAGGUGUAAAAUCAAUCCAAGUAGACGGGCGAAUUGGAAAAGCAAUUUGGGCAGAUUAUGGAGUUCACGGCACAAAUUCAAGAGCAAAGUGAAUUCUCCAACUCAACUGUUGAAAAUUUGAAGGAAGAUUUUGAAAUCCAUGAUGGUAUCAUUUGGGAAGUGCUAUGGAGGUUGGAGGUGAAUCCAAGAUAUCCAAACCAAGCCAAAACAUGGAUGAACAGCUGCUGCUCGAAGAGGAGGAGAGUAACAAGGCCACAGCAAGGAGAGAACCACCCUUGCCGCAACCCCAUAUGCCUUCUAUGCCGUCCACUACAACCAAGGUAAGCCUAAAUUCAAUUCAUCCUGACCCCGUUUCACCAAAUGUCCUUAUUCCUUGCAGGAUCAUGCAAUCCAAGGAAGAAGAGGGUGAGCAAGGCAUCUUCGGAACCUUUCCAAAGAGUCAAGAGCAAGAAGUGGAUGGGGAAUGUCUACAAUUCAUCAAAGAAGAUACCCUUGAGACGAAAACUCCCAAAGAAGUUGGAUUUUAUGACACGGGAAAAGUCAUAACUCUCAAAACACCAAAUCUGGCCAAGUCCCAUAUCCCUGCAACCUUCAAAGAUGUGGUGUUCGUAAUUGAGUUUGUGUUGGAGCAAGCAAGUAAGCCAUCUUCUCCAACUUCGAUUUUAUUAUAUACUAACUUGCUGAUUUUGAUGAUUCAGGCACCUACACUAGAAUUUAAACCAUUGCCGAAUCACGUCAAAUAUCACCUUCCAAUCAAGGAUCAAUUCCAUGCCGUGGGCCCUGUACAAGCUUAAAUAGAGGUAUCGUCUGGCUGGAAGACGUUAAAGCAAGCGCUUCUUGAGAGGCAACCUAUGUAUUCAAAUAAGGAAGAUUUUUGGAUUGCUCCACAAUCAGUUUUGCGUUUCUAAAAACCUUCCCUUUUCUGUAGUUUUAUUUUGCCAUGAUUGUCAUUUUUAUUUGUUGCUUGUUUAAUUGUUUUUGGUGUGGGUUUAUUUUUGAAACACUGACAGUUAUGCAAGGUAUUUUUACAUUCAUAAAAAAGAAAGGAACAUUAAGCAGAUAAAUACAAGAGGAAGCCUUCACAAAGGUUGCUUAGAAGAAGUCUCAGUAGUCGGUGGAGCCUCAGCAGUCGGCGGAGCCCCAGAAGGAGGAGGCAUCGAAGGUUGAUCAUUUGGAGCUUCAUUACGCGGUACAACCCCAGAAGACGAAGGCAAAUGCUAUUGGAACAAACCCACAAACCUCUGAUGAUCAAGUAAAAUCUGACCAUCAGAUUCCUACAUCUGGUCAAUCUUCCUCUUCAUGUUUGUAGCAUUAUUAUGUGCGAGCCUGUGCAACUGUUUAUUCUCAUGCUUAAGCCCUCUAGUCUCCUGCUUGAGACUCAUCACUUCAGCCGCCAAUGAUUCAACUUGACGGGUUUGGGCAAAUAGGCGUUGGGCCAUAUUAGACACGGAACCUGCGCACUGCACACUGAGAGCCAGAUAAUCCUUAACAGCCAACUCAUCAGACCGUUUGGCAAGUAGCCUGUUAUCUUUGGGAAUGACAAGGUUCCUGGCCACCACCGCAGCUGUCAUAUCAUUCUUCAUCACCGAAUCCCCAACGGUAAGGGGACCAGUAGGGGAUUCGAAUGAUGGGUGCCAUAUGUUGUCUGAAGAAGGCGGGACUGCCUCUUCACCAAGGUUUAAGUCAAAACGACGGUCGGAGGGGCCAGACAUUUUCAGAGGUGUUAAAGAAAGAAGAGGUCGGACAAGUCAAGAUUGUAGAAAUGCAAGAAGGGAGUUUUUACAGGCAGAAAUUCAAGUGUGCUUUGAACGUCUUGCGUACCUCUGUAAAAAUCAGCACUCGAUGGGAUUUCAGAGAUCGAAGAGGCGAGCUCAAAAAUCGAAGAGGCCAACUCAAAAAUCAAAGAAGCGCUAGCUUUCUCAAAAGCUGGGCUUGCUCAGAAACCACGACCAAUCUUCUUUUCCAGAUUUGUCCGCACUUGUCACAUGCAACCUCUGCACUCGACGGGAUUUCAGAUAUCGAAAAGGCAAGCUCAGAAAUCGAAAAGGCAUAUGCUUUUCCAGACAUGUCAGAAUCUGUCACAUGCAGAGUCAGCUUUGUGGAAAUCACGGGCAGUUUGUCGAAGCACCGAUUUCAGAUAUCGAAGAGGCAUCUGCUUUUCCAGACGUGUCAGCAUCUGUCACAUGUAGAGUCAGCUUUGCGGAAAUCACGGGUAGUUUAUCGAAGUGGUUUUCGAGACGUGUCAGCAUCUGUCACAUGCAGAGUCAGCUUUGCAGAAAUCACGUGCAGUUUGUCGAAGCGCCGAUUCUAGAUAUCGAAGAGGCACUUGUUUUCCAGACGUGUCAGCGCCUGUCACAUGCACUCAGCCUUGCGAAAAUUAUGGGCAAUCUGUCGAAGAUCUCUUGUGAAGUUGAAAGCACGUGAAGUUUACUAUUAAAUCAUCCAACGGUUGCUGACAAGAGUGAAAGAAUAGUACCGGUUAUUAAUUCCUAUAAAUGUCACCCAUCACCCUCCAUUGCAAGGCAGACAUACAUAACCUUUCUUCUUCUUCGAGAAUGCCUUUCCAACAAACCCUCUCGAGUCACUCAGUGUUCCUUAUUCCUUGGGGUACCUCUACAAACAACUCAUCCAAAGAAAAAGUAUUUCAUAUCAUGAAGGUUGAAAGCAAGAGUAUCUCAUAUCAUGCUUUCUCCCACUUGGUAUCAAUCUUCCGAUCUAGAACCGAUUGCCUAGAACCCCUUCCUGAUUGCUUACCUAGCCUUGCUCUCGAGUACUCAUCUUUAUCAUUUUAUGCUUCCUCUUCGUCUACCACAUCUGACUGGGGAACAGAUAAGAGAAGUGAAAAUGAUACCUCGAAGCAUGUGGAGACAAUUUGCCAAUUCAUCCUCAGCUACGGACACAGAGAAAGAAAGCAAGAGGUGGGCACUUGGAAAGAUUGAAGAAAGAAACAAACUAACACCUCUACCUCGUGCCUGCCUGCCGUGCAGAAGAAACAAGCAGAGAAGAAUGCAGACUGCACAAUCAAAUCAACCCAGCAAAAGGAGUCUGAUUUGAAACCAAGGAACUCUAAUAUUCCUCGCUCAGAAUUCCAAAACUAGUUUGAGAUCAAAGCUGUGGAAAGUCAACAAGAUCAUCUAUCUCCAAAACCAGAUUUGCGUUCUUAAACUCUACUCUGUCUGUUUUUUUUUUUUUUUGCUAUACUUGUCAUGUUUAUUCGUUGUUUGUUUAUUUGCUUGUUUUUGUGUGAGUUUAUGCUUGAAACAUUGAGGACAAUGUUUGAUUUAAGUGUGGGGGGGGGGGGGGUAACCAUUGUUUUGCAUGAAAUUCGUAGGAGUUUAUCACCCAUUACUUCUAAUGUUGUUCCUUGCUGUUUUAAGUGUUUUUAAGCUGUUUUGGAGUUGUUUUACAUGAAAUUUGUAGGAGUUUAUCACCCAUUACUUCUAGUGUUGUUCCUUGCUGUUUUAAGUGUUUUUAAGCUGUUUUGGAGUGUUUCAGUGUGUUUUGACAUAAAAAUCCGAAAAUCUCAUAAAAAUUUGAAAAAUUGUUUUGAAAAACCCAAAAAGAGUUGUUUUUGUAUGUUUAUUUGUGUCUUAGGGUACCUUCCAACACAAUGAUGAGGAUUUGGUUUUUAAUUACAUGACUGUUAAAGAGAGUUAUAAACAUGGAUGAAAAUUUGAUUUACUCUUUGGUGUAUGCUUGGUUGUGGUUAUAAUUUAUGAAUUCACAUGCAAUCAUAAAGGAAAAAUCAAUUUUUGUAACAUGCUUGAAGGAAGGAACUCAAAUGAACGCUACAACCUUGUGAGACUUGAGCCUAAACGUUUAUUUGGAGAGUUAAUAAUCUGUGCACUAUUGUUUUCUAAAGUCGUUGCAUGAUCUCAUUAUUCUUUGCUUGGUUGCUACUUAGAAGGCGUUUCAUCAUUUAGUUCCAAAUGCUAGAACUCAUGCCUAUUUCAUUCAAAGCAUGCUAUUGAUUUGCAUAACACAUAUUCAAGAUGAAGUUGUGUAGUGACCACCACAAGCCAAAUUGCCGUGCCCUAUUUCAUUAUGUGUUUAAGUUUAACCCCGUUGAGCCUUUUUUAGCCUAUGUUCUUUGUUAACCCACACUAUCCUCACCUAGCCUAGAUUAGGACCAUCCAUACCCUUGUUCUUGAAGCAUAGUAAAACAUAAUUUAGAAGGAAUUCCUUUUGUUGAACUUUUGCAGAAAAUGUGUGUGUGUGUGUGUGUGCGCCAAAGUCCUUAAUAAGGCACAGGUAGAAAAGAAAAGGAAAAAAAGAAACAUUCGUGGAAAAUAGAAUGAAAAGAAGAAAAGUUGUGAAAAAAGAGUGAAAAAAGAGUAAAAAAUAUGUGAAAAAAGAACUCUAAAGUGUUGUUUGUUGAAGAAAGGGUCCAAAACAUUAAAUUCGGCACUAAGUGUUGCUUGAAUCUUCCCUUUGUGUUUAAAAGUUAAUUUCUGCAUUAUUAAAGUGAAUUCCAAGUGUCUAUUUCAUUACUUUGCUUGCUAUUGCUUUCAAGAACGUUUGUUAUCCUUAUCCUUUCUUUGUUAGCCAUUACCCUUAAACCCCGUUACAACCCUUAACUUCAAUCUUGAGUGUUAUGUGUUUCAAUAUUGUGGAGUUUGGAAUUGGUUUUGAGCAUAUGGUGUCACUGGUUCUUGCAUCUAAGUAGUAGCAUUCCAUUCAUGAGAUCAUAUCUAAACAUGCUUAAUAACUCCAGAAAAUUGCUUUCUUUGUUAUAACAUAUAUGUGAGUGUUCGUUUUCAUGUUUACAUCAAUCUUCUCACAUAUAACUAGUGUAGGGUGUGUAGUCAGAAAAUGUGUGUGAAAAUAGAGAGUAUCUUGUAAGGAAUUGAGUAAAUUCUCUAAGGCAUGUUACUACAUUCAAAACAUGUUUUAAUUGGUUAAUUGUGAACUAGUAAGUGGUGACUGUGAUUAAGUAUGUGCUCAAGUGUAAGGAUGACCAAAAUUUGUGGGAAUGAUGAUUUUUAACAUGUCAUGUUUCAUUAAAAAUCCCUGAGGCAAUUGUUGGAAGGUCUAGGUUGUGUUUUGUUUUGUUUUGUUUUGUUUGUUUUGUUUUGCUCGAGGACUAGCAAAAGCUAAGUGUGGGGGAAUUUGAUAGGAGCAUAUUUAUGCGACUUAGUUAGCUUGUUUCUUGGCAUUUAUGUUGUUAGUUCGUAGUUAUUUUAGUAUUUUAAUCUAUUUUCGUGUGGUUGUAGGUCCAAAGGGUUAAUGUGGCAAAGAAGUGCAUUUUGGAGCAUUUUGGAGCAUUUUUAGGCAUGGAAUGGAUGGCAUAUGCUUGGAGCAAAAGGAAUGGAUGAAAUUUGAAGUUUGUGCAUCAUCCUCUUCCCAUAAAUAACCAUUUUAGCACACUCAUUUCACCCAACACAUCCACUACACCCAUUACAUCCACCCACUACACCUAUUACAUCCACUCAUUACCAAACAUCCACCCACUACACCCAUUACAUCCACUCAUUACCACAACAAUCACCCAUUACACCCAUUACAUCCACUCAUUACAACUUCAUACACUCCUCUCCCUAGCCUAUAAAUACAUCCACCCUUCACCCUAAUUUGGGGGCCAUCAUCCAAAGACACCACAUCAUCUACACAACUCUCCACCCUUCAACAUAACUCACCUAUAUCCUUCCACCACUACAAGAGACCAUCCAUUCACCACUCACACCUUGGUGCCGCAUAUUUGCAAGGAAGGAGGAUUGCUUGGAGUUGUGCUAGUCAUUCAAUUUGGAUUGCUGGAGCAUUCUAGGGGUAUUCUACUUUGGUUUUCAAUGUUUAAUUUCAAUUGUUUAUGUUUAAUUGCAAGUAUGAGGAACUAAACCUCUUUUGGCUAGAGGAGAAUUCGAAACCAUGAAUAUAUUUGCA